UAAAGGACAAGACAGCAUUUUUGUUGUAGUUUCUUGAUACCAAUACUUCCUGCAUUUUCCCAUCUACAUUUCUUUCUCUCCUUAUGAAACUAAAUUAUGCCAUGUUAUCCUAAUUAUGUGGCUUGUUGCUAAACCAACCCUUCCACUGGUCCAUGACAGAGUGCCCUGGGAAACAUGAAAUCACUCUGCCAUGCGGCCAAACCUUCUAGAGUAAUAGCAGGUUUGAAAAAUUGGAGGUUAAUGAAAAAGGAUCAUCAUAUGUGCCAAAUAGAAUGAUACUUGGCAUCCUUAGUCUAAAAUUUUGCGUGCUCUGUUUUUCUUCAUCCAUCUUCUAAGUAUAUGGAUUGAGUAAAUUUAUUGAAAUAUUCGAACUUUCACCUAUAGGUCACUUUUCUUUUGUAGAUGUUUCUACAAACAGACUUUACUUCUCAGGGAGCAAAGUCUGGUUUUAAUUGAAAUGAAGAGGAAAGCUGUCCUCAAAUUUUGUA